rnacentral:rRNA from 1 species
UAGCCUUGACAUUGAAGAAACACACUAGAGAUAGAGUGGUGCCCUUCGGGGAAUCUGAAAACAGGUGCUGCACGGCUGUCGUCAGCUCGUGUCGUGAGAUGUUGGGUUAAGUCCCGCAACGAGCGCAACCCUCGUCCUUAGUUGCCAGCAGGUUAAGCUGGGCACUCUAAGGAGACUGCCUUCGUAAGGAGGAGGAAGGUGAGGACGACGUCAAGUCAUCAUGGCCCUUAUGGCUAGGGCUACACACGUGCUACAAUGGGGCGUACAGAGAGUUGCGAUACCGUGAGGUGGAGCCAAUCUCAUAAAGCGUCUCUCAGUUCGGAUUGAAGUCUGCAACUCGACUUCAUGAAGCUGGAAUCACUAGUAAUCGUAGAUCAGCAAUGCUACGGUGAAUACGUUCCCGGGUCU